AUUGAACGCUGGCGGCAGGCCUAACACAUGCAAGUCGAGCGAGCGGCGGACGGGUGAGUAAUGUAUGGGGACUGCCCGAUAGAGGGGGGUAAAUACUGGAAACGGUGCCUCAUACAGCAUACUAUCGGAUAACCCAUAUGGGAUUAGCUAGUAGGUGGGGUAAAGGCUCACCUAGGCGACGAGCUCUAGCUGUGCUGAGAGGAUGAGAAGCAACACUGGAACUGAGACACGGCCCAGACUCCUACGGAGGCAGCAGUGGGGAAUAUUGCACAAUUGGCGCAACCCUGAUGCAGCCAUGCCGAGUGUGUGAAGAAGGCCUUAGGGUUGGAAAGUACUUUCAGCGGGGAGGCGUUACCCGCAGAAGAAGCACCGGCUAACUCCGUGCCAGCAGCCGCGGUAAUUC
rnacentral:rRNA from 1 species